GAAGCCCGGUAACGGGUGGAGCUGACUGGUACUAAUAGGCCGAGGGCUUGUCCUCAGUUG
rnacentral:rRNA from 3 species